AAAUUUAAAAAAAUCAAAAUUCUGAAUUUAGAGUACAUAAAUGAAACUGAUCAUAUACCUGCAGCUGCAAAUAUACAUUAAUGAAAUAGUAAAGCAUAUAUCCAACUCCCUAUGAUGCAAUAUUAUACAAAAAUUCUCAAACAAUUCGUUCAUUUCACAUGAUGACAUUUUUGUUUAAGUCUCUGAGAAUCUAUGAUUACUUUCUUUUAUAAAUUAUUGUAUACAUUUAUAAAAAAAAGGAUAAUUACCUAGUCUCUAAAUAUAAUGGUCUAUUUAUAUACACAUAUAAUUCAUUUACAAAUUCAUAGGAUUGAACUAUUAAUACAUGCAACAAAAGUCAACAUUUUUUCCCCCAUAAUUUUCUAUGAUUAAUACAGUAUAAGAUUGUAUCAGUACUUUAAUGUACAUUGGUAUUAAAAUACAAAUAGCUCCUUUGUGCAAACUGUUCUGCUAAGUUUGCCUUUAUAUUUCAUAAAAGCUACAAAAAGGUAUUGAUUUCUAUUAUGAAUGGUAUAAAUUAAUGUUUAAUGAAAAUGUAUGUGUAGAUGUUCCAGACCAUAUGAGUAAUUGGACCGUAUGUGUAUAGUCCUACUGUAAGGUCGCACAGAAUGAGUAUACUUAUACUUGUACCGUCUAAUACGAGCGGGACCAUUUAUGUAAUUGACCCAUAUGGGUUAACUUUAGACACACAUUUAUCUAAUCUUUUACUGAGUUUUACAAAUACUCAUAUGGUCUGGAACAUAGACAUUAAUAAAAAACAAAUGAAGGAAAAAAAUAUGAACGGCAUCAAUGUUCUGAUAGAGACAAGAAAAAAAG
rnacentral:lncRNA from 1 species